rnacentral:rRNA from 1 species
AUGAAGCAGGAACUUAAAGAGGGCACAAGUAAUCUUUUUUUUUUCAAGAAAAGCUCGUACAUGUGGUGCAAAUGCACUUGGAGAUGGUUGGAAUGCCAUAUUCAUCGCAGGCUGUUGUUGCUGCACAUACUGGACACCAAGCUGGAGCAUGACUGCUUGGAAAUCUCUGUGCCAAAGUAUUCACUGGCUGCUACACGAAAUGCAGAAGACAAGAAACUUGAACAACACGCUGAGACAAAGUUGGAGUUUUCUGACAGAGGAACGUACAACUGGGAGAGAAGCAAAAAGUUUUCCUGUCGUUUAGCUGUACAUGGGCCUUUUGCUCUCCUGUUGUGUGUUUGCUGCGUUCAUGGGCAGGGACACAGGUACAGCGGGCCAAACAAACAGCAAAAACAAAAAACAAACAAGCAAGCAAAGCCCACACCAUAA